rnacentral:rRNA from 1 species
UACGUAGGGCGCGAGCGUUGUCCGGAAUUAUUGGGCGUAAAGAGCUCGUAGGCGGUUUGUCGCGUCUGCUGUGAAAUCCUCAGGCUCAACUUGGGGCGUGCAGUGGGUACGGGCAGACUAGAGUGCGGUAGGGGAGACUGGAAUUCCUGGUGUAGCGGUGGAAUGCGCAGAUAUCAGGAGGAACACCGAUGGCGAAGGCAGGUCUCUGGGCCGUUACUGACGCUGAGGAGCGAAAGCAUGGGGAGCGAACAGGAUUAGAUACCCUGGUAGUCCAUGCCGUAAACGUUGGGCACUAGGUGUGGGGUCCAUUCCACGGGUUCCGCGCCGUAGCUAACGCAUUAAGUGCCCCGCCUGGGGAGUACGGCCGCAAGGCUAAA